rnacentral:misc_RNA from 1 species
CAACACCGUGACCGAACUCUUCUUUCAUUUUGGUUCUAAUCUAAACGAUUUUUAGAUGUGAAAUCGCCCCUCAUUAGAGAUAGGGCCGAAUAUAGCGUCACAAUCUAGAAAUAAGAUUUAAAAUGUAUAUAUCCGGCAUCCCGUCGCCAUCAGAUUCAGUGUGUGAUGAGACGUGAGGAAGAGCGGACACGCCGUCCGAAACUCGUGAUUUUUUCUCUCAUUUCCUGAGUGUAGAAAAGGAGUUCCUAAGUGUGCCGCUCUGAGAGUCGCCUUGUAAUCCACUAGAGGAGCAGCCCACCCCCGGAGAGUGAGAGGAGCGCCGUGAGGGAGCGCCCGCAACCGCAGCCGCAACCGCAGCCAUGAAGCCUGCGUACGGCCGCCCAGACCCCGCCGACACCAGCAAGCGAGUCACCUGCUACGUGUGCGGGUGCCCGCGCUGCGCCGAGUAUCCGCUCGCCAUCCGACAGCAGGCGUCGGGACCGUACUUCCCGUUCCUCGAGACGCACGAGCCGCCCGAUGGGUCGGAGCCGCCCACGGCCGACGGGCGCGUGCUGGCGUGCUUCCUGUGCUACUCGUACCUGACGCAGCAGUGGGACCUUUACGAGCGCGACAAAGUGCCGCCCGUCAAGCGGAUCUACUGGCUUAAGCGCGUCGACAACGGGCCGUACACGGGCGUCGAGGUGGGCGUGCAGAGCGAGUACGCCUCGCAGCUGCUGGGUCUGGCGCCCGACCCGCCGGCUGCCGAUUCCAAGCGGGCGGGCGCCAGCGGGGGCGCGCGUCCUCAGCCCCCACCCGCGGUGGCAGCAGCGGCGCCUGCCGCGCCCGUAGAGCCUAAACGCGCCCGAAUCGUGCCACCGCAGCCUCAACCACCCACCAUGCCGUUGCCGCCACCCGGCGUGGCGCCGCUGCCGCUGGGGCUCGCGGUGCCGCAGUUGUGCCCACAGCAGGAGGCGCUGGACCUGUCGCUGGACGGGCGGCGCGGCACGAAGCGCGGGCGCGAGGAGGAGGCGGGCGCUGCCACGCCGCCGCGCGCGGAGGUGCUGGAUCUGCGGAUGCCCGACAAGAACGCGCCGACGGAGGUGUGCUACGUGUGCGGCGCGCAGCACAAGAAGGGCACGCUGGUGGGCAUCUUCGCCAAGCAGAGCGGCGCCUGCCCUUUUUUUCCCAGCCUGAUGCUGCACCCGCGUCCCAGUAAGUCGCACCCCAUGGAGGCGUCGGGGCGCGUGCAGGCGUGCCGCGACUGCUACGGCCACCUGCAGCUGCAGUGGGACGCCUACGAGGUGCACAAGGUCCCGCACGACGAGCGCAACUACUCGCUGCGCCGGCGGUCGGCCGCGCAGGAGGCGGCAGGCUUCGUGUGCUACAAGUGCGGCCGCGAGUGCCCGUCCAGCUCGCUCUGCCUCAUGUACUGCAGACCCAACUCCGAGAAGGAGCCCUUCUACCCCUUCAUCCAGCGGCUGGAGGCGCCCGAGGGCGCGUCGCCCAUCUCGCCGCAGGGCAUGGUGCAGGUGUGCUCGCACUGCUGCAAGACCAUUCCGCAGGAGCAGAAGCUGCUGCAGGAGAAGGAGGACAGUGUCCGGGGCCGGCCUGCGGAGGCGAAGGGCGGCGCCGCGGAGAGCGUGGGCGGGCAACACGGCGGGGUCGCGCCUCCUCCGGCCGCUACGCCCCCGUCGCAGGCCGUGGUGAGCCGAGGCGCGUCCGACGGCGAGGUGCCCGAGGAGGCGGUGUGUUACCUGUGCCACCAGCCGCACAAGGCGCAGGUCAUGCACUGGCUGUCCAUGGUGCUGGACCCGAAGAACCCCGAGGGCAUGUACUUCCUCUUCCUCAAGUACCAGCCGCGGGCGUCGCAGGGCACGGUCAUCGAGGACGGGCGCGUGCUGGUGUGCGCGCUGUGCCACCAGCACCUGAGCGCGCAGUGGGCCGAGUACCAACGCGACAACGUGCCGCUCGAGCACCGCCAGUUCUCCCUCCGACACAUGCCCAUGACGUCGCAAUCGCCGCGCCUCACGCCGCACUCGUCGCCGGGCAUCUCCACGCCCACCGACGCGUCGCCGUCGCACCCGUUCGCGCCCGCCGUCACCGCCGCCGCCGCCGAGCCGCACCCCCGCGCCGUCGAGAACUGCAGCGGUGCGGGCGGCGCGGGCGCCGGCGGGUGGACGGGCCAGCCGCUGCACGCGCUGGAGGUGGUUCCGGCCGACCACGACCCCAACAUCCCGACGCUGCCCGUGAUCACGACGCAGCGCGCGCUGAGCAUCGCCAUCAACUGCUUCAUCUGCAGCUUCCACUCCAAGCCGGGGCAGACGUACGCCGUGCGUUGCAAGCCGCGCAGCACGGAGCCCUUCUUCCCGUUCCUGGCCAAGCACCAGUCGGCGCACCCGGAGGCGCGCGUCGACGAGGCCUACGUGCUCGUGUGCCUCUGCUGCUUCCACUCGCUCAUCCUGCAGUGGCAGCGCUACGAGAAGGCGCAGGUCGACCACUACGCGCGCCUCUACGACACCUACAACUACACCUGCUACAUCUGUAGCCUCAAGACGUACAGGAAGAGGCUAUAUCUGCUCCCCGUCAAGGACUACCCCUUCCUGAAAGAACACAACCGACCGCCCGGAGGCAUGGUGGUGGACAACGGGCAUUCGGUGGUUGUGUGCAAGGACUGUUACUCCUCUCUCAAAAACCAAUACAUAGAGUUGGAGAGAUGGGGAGUGCCGGUUGAGAAGAGGCAGUACAACUGGAUACAGCGCCCUCCGCCGCCAGAGUUCCAUCGGGACUCCUCCACCACUGGCCCCAAGCCUGUCCAGGGCCAGAUCUCGGGUGCACAGCCUCAGUUGGCAGACCCUGGGGUAUCUAGCCCAGGCUCUCAUCCAGGGACUCCCCCUGGCGGCUUGUCCCAGCCGAGAGGGGGGGGCAGCCCCAGGGGCUCCCUUGGCCCUCCUCCGGGCUCUUCUAGUGCGGCAGCCAAGAUGCAAGGUUUGAAAUUCGCUGCCAAAGAAGCUGUAGACCCGUCUCAGAGGCAUGGAGGAUAGAGACAAGACAGUAGACAAGCACCGGAACCAGCUCAGAAGACGAGAUGGCAUCUAGAAGACUUGACACCAGUCCUCUCCACGCUGACAAGAGGCAGAGGAUAGUGUUGAAAGUCGGGUAACUUCAGGUAAGGUGAGUGAGGAGCCAGCCUCGGCAGCCAACAGCGCCAUACCAAAGACGUCGACAGUGGUGACAGGGCCCACAGCAACUGCUUCUGACGCCUCCUGUGA